rnacentral:lncRNA from 1 species
ACAGUUCAUUAUGAGUCGUUUAAUAUUUCAGUCGUUGUUGGUUAUCUUCGUGUUGUUCCAAAUAAUUUCGGCGCAACCCUACCUUUCCCAAUAUUUGAAAAGAGCAGCAAAUGAUGUAGGCGAAAAUCAUGGUUUGGAUAAGCGACAAUCAAAUAUAAUAAUAGGAGAUAUUCGUCCUUUACUCAAAGCAGUAGACAAGCGAGAUGCCAAUAUUAGACUAGAAGGAAGACGUGUGGUCAAGAGAAGUCCGUUGGUCCUCUAUAGUAGUUUUCCAGUAGUUGAUGGUCUCAUUAAUGGGCUGCAACACUAAAAAUUGCAAGUUUAUGGAAAUUUCUGUAAAUUUAGAUAAACAUAUUAUACAAUAAAAAUCCUGUUACUUUUUAUAUAAAAAUAUAAAAAUAUUUUGCUUA